CAGUCGCCGCGGGAAUACGGAGGGUGCAAGCGUUAAUCGGAAUUACUGGGCGUAAAGCGCACGCAGGCGGUCUGACAAGUCAGAUGUGAAAUCCCCGGGCUUAACCUGGGAACUGCAUUUGAAACUGUCAGGCUGGAGUCUUGUAGAGGGGGGUAGAAUUCCAGGUGUAGCGGUGAAAUGCGUAGAGAUCUGGAGGAAUACCGGUGGCGAAGGCGGCCCCCUGGACAAAGACUGACGCUCAGGUGCGAAAGCGUGGGGAGCAAACAGGAUUAGAGACCCCUGUAGUCCCUGUCUCUUAUAC
rnacentral:rRNA from 1 species